rnacentral:tRNA from 1 species
AAGGUAAUGAUGGAAUUGGUAGACAUGAAUAGCUUAGGACUAUUU